GACGAACGCUGGCGGCGUGCUUAACACAUGCAAGUCGAACGGAAAGGCCCUGCUUUUGUUGGGUGCUCGAGUGGCGAACGGGUGAGUAACACGUGAGUAACCUGCCCUUGACUUUGGGAUAACUUUAGGAAACUGGGGCUAAUACCGGAUAGUAUCUCCUGCACCAUUGUGGGGGUUGGAAAGAUUCGGCUGUUGUGGAUAGACUCGCGGCUUAUCCGCUUCUUGGUGGGGUAGUGGCUUACCAAGGCUUUGACGGGUAGCCGGCCUGGGAGGGUGACCGGCCACCUUAGGCCUGAGAUACGGCGCAGAAUGGUACGGGAGGCAACAGUGGGGAAUAUUGCACAGUGGGCGGGAGCCUGUUGCAGCAACGCCGCGUGCGGAAUGACGGCCUACGGGUUGUAAACAGCUUUCGACUGUGCCGAGGCGUUAGUGACGGUAAUGGGUAAAGAAGCACCGGCUAACUACGUG
rnacentral:rRNA from 1 species